UACGUAUGGUGCAAGCGUUAUCCGGACUUACUGGGUGUAAAGGGAGCGUAGACGGCUGUGCAAGUCUGAAGUGAAAGGCCGGGGCCCAACCCCGGGAGUGCUUUGGAAACUGUGCGGCUAGAGUGUCGGAGAGGCAAGUGGAAUUCCCAGUGUAGCGGUGAAAUGCGUAGAUAUUGGGAGGAACACCAGUGGCGAAGGCGUCUUGCUGGACGAUGACUGACGUUGAGGCUCGAAAGCGUGGGGAGCAAACAGG
rnacentral:rRNA from 1 species